rfam:Neisseria shayeganii 871 genomic scaffold SCAFFOLD1, whole genome shotgun sequence.
GCAGUCGGGCAGACAGUCGCCGCGUGAUCCGCUCACGGGGAGGAAAGUCCGGGCUGCACAGAGCAGGAUGCCGGCUAACGGCCGGGCGCCGCGAGGCGACGGAAAGUGGAACAGAAAGCAUAACCGCCGAUGGCUGCGGCAACGCGGUACAGGUAAGGGUGAAAUGGUGCGGUAAGAGCGCACCGUGCGGCUGGCAACAGUCCGUAGCAGGCCAAACCCCAUCCGCAGCAAGACCAAACAGAACACCAUGACGCUGCUCGCCGAGUGUUCGGGUAGGUUGCUUGAGCCGUCCGGCAACGGGCGGCCUAGAGGAAUGACUGUCCAACGACAGAACCCGGCUUACCGCCCGGCUGCGGUG